rnacentral:rRNA from 1 species
CACGUAGGGGGCAAGCGUUGUCCGGAUUUAUUGGGCGUAAAGAGCGUGUAGGCGGCUAGAUAGGUCCGUUGUGAAAACUCGAGGCUCAACCUCGAGACGUCGAUGGAAACCAUCUGGCUAGAGUCCGGAAGAGGAGAGUGGAAUUCCUGGUGUAGCGGUGAAAUGCGCAGAUAUCAGGAAGAACACCCGUGGCGAAGGCGGCUCUCUGGUACGUGACUGACGCUGAGACGCGAAAGCGUGGGGAGCAAACAGG